rnacentral:rRNA from 1 species
UGCGUAGGCGGAUAAAUAAGUCAGUGGUGAAAUCUUUCGGCUCAACCGGGAAACUACCAUUGAUACUGUUUAUCUUGAGUUCGGUAGAGGUAGGCGGAAUGUGUAAUGUAGCGGUGAAAUGCUUAGAUAUUACACAGAACACCAAUUGCGUAGGCAGCUUACUAUGCCGACACUGACGCUGAGGCACGAAAGCGUGGGGAGCGAACAGGAUUAGAUACCCUGGUAGUCC